GGCCUGCAAUGAUGAGUUUGCAUAGUCCGUGUUUCACCUGACUUCUGUGAUUAUACUUCAUGCUCUGAGCAGGCC